rnacentral:rRNA from 1 species
GGAGGGUGCAAGCGUUAUUCGGAAUUACUGGGCGUAAAGCGCACGUAGGCGGCCUUGUAAGUCAGGGGUGAAAUCCCACGGCUCAACCGUGGAACUGCCUUUGAAACUGCAGGGCUUGAAUCCUGGAGAGGGUGGCGGAAUUCCUGGUGUAGGAGUGAAAUCCGUAGAUAUCAGGAGGAACACCGGUGGCGAAGGCGGCCACCUGGACAGGCAUUGACGCUGAGGUGCGAAAGUGUGGGGAGCAAACAGGAUUAGAUACCCUGGUAGUCCACACCGUAAACGAUGGAUACUAGGUGUCGGGGACUUGAUCUUCGGUGCCGUACGUAACGCGUUAAG